rnacentral:lncRNA from 1 species
CCCAGUAUCAAGGUGCUGGCAUCUGGCAAGAGCCUUCUUGCUGCAUCAUCUCAUGGCUGAAGGUGAGAAGAUGAGAGAAGGCCAAAGGGAGGAAAGGGGCCAAACUCAUCUGUCUAUCAGGAACCUACUCCCGAGAUAACUAAUCUAUUCUCACAAUAAUAACAUUAAUUCAUUCAUGAGGGCUGAGCCCUCAUGACCUAAUCCCCUCUUUAAGGUCCCAUGUCUCAACACUGUUGCACUGGGGAUUAAGUUUCCAACAUAUGAAAUUUUCAGGUCACAUUCAAACCAUAGCAUGCCCUUUUAAGAACCGAAGAAUAAAAAGAGACGAAAUCUUGCUAGCUGUAUCAGGAGCCCUCCAGCUGCCCCUUCCAACAUCCUCACCUUCAGAAUAACCACUAUGGCUGAGUUUAUGAUAAUCACCUCUGCAUCUUGCUUUAUAGUUUUUAUUACCAAUUACGUUUCUAAAUACUAUAGUAUAGCUCUGCCUGGUUUUAUUUGUUUGUUUAAUAUGCCUAUUGGGUCUCUUUGAAUGCAUAAGUUCUUCCUCCCUGACCUUUGAAAUUUGUUUCUUUGAAAACUGCAUCAUUUGUCUUGUAGACUUUACUCCAUUGGAAUUUUGCUGAUCGCAUGUCUGUGGUAAAGUUUAAUGUCUUCCUUAGUCUUCUGUAUUUCUUGCCAACUGAAAGUUGAUUACAGAGGCUUAAUCGUUUUUUGUUUUGAAUUUUGUGGGGAACAAUUACUUCCUAGGUGGUGUCAUAUUCUUUGUCAAGAGUGACAUUAUGUCAUUUUGUGUUGUCAGCAGCCAUUUCUGAUCAGUGGUUAGAUAUCUAAUUAAUUAGAGAUUGAAAAGGAUGAUAUUCCAGUUUGAUCACAUCUUCUUUAUUGGGAAUAUAUCUGUGCAAGGAAACAUCUACCGUCUGAUUGCCCAGUGGUUCAGAUUUUAUAGGAAAGGAGAGAUGAAUGCUUGAGUCUUUUCCUGUAUUUGCUAAUUUUCAAAACAAAAAGUUUAUUUCUUAAUAUCUUUUAAAGGUGGCCAGGAUGCUAUGUAUAAUCAGCAUUUAUAUAUAUGAAGGAACCAUGUUUAAUAUAUAAAAUUUCCCAAAAGGCACACCCUCCAACUUCCAAACUCUAUAUACUUUGUACCUCAUCAAGAUGCUAAAAAGAUUGAGAAAGUAAAUUAAAGUAUGGGAGAUAUAUAGAUAAUAACUCAACUUUAAAAAUUUAACCACCAUUUAUUUUUUGAGAGCCUACUACCUGUAAGAACUGAGUCAGGUACAGAUGUUUUAAAAUAUGGUGCCUGCCCUCAACAAACUUGCUCUCUAAUAGGGGAAACAGGGCAUUGCAUGAAACAAGAAGGGUAAGACCAUGGGGCCAAUACUGAUGGAAGAUGCUAAAGGACUGUAGAGGAUUUCCACUCACCCACUGUCAUAGCUCAGACUGCUAUAAGAAAAUACUGUAGAUUCAGUGUCUUACCCAACAAACAUGUAUUUUUUUUCAGAAUUCUAAAGGCUGCAAAGUUCAAGAUUGAGGUGCCAGCUGAUUUGGUGUCUGGUGAGGGCUCACUUCCUGGUUUGCAGAUGGCUGUCUUCUUGUUUCAGCUUCACAUGUUGGAAAGAAAGAUCCAGUGUCUCCUCCUCUUUUUAUAAGAGAACAAACCCCAUUCAUGGAGGACCCAUUAUCAUAACCAGAUCAUUUUCCAAAGUCCCCACCUCCAAAUACCAUAACAUUGGGGAUUAGAGCUUCAACAUAUGAAUCUUAUAGGGACAAAAACAUUCAGUACAUAAUACUCAGUUACCAAAAAUGUAUGCCUAAUAAAUUUUAGAGAUUCAAUACUUCUGAAUUGAACAUCACUGUUUUGACUUACAGGUCUUUUAACGCCUUUUACUAGAGAUAUUAUUUUGCUGCUCUAAAAAGUAUAAAUGGUUUGUAGUUGUUCUAGCUCAUUCAUCCAUGAGUUCAAUCAAUCCAAUCAAUCAUUAUUAUAAUUGAUCACCUGAUAAUUACCUGGCACUUCUUAGGAACCAAGGAUUUUUUAAGUGAAGGAAAUACAAUUCUACUCUCAAGGAGCAGAUGUCAUAGCAGACUGGGAACCAGCUAAGCAUGUAAUUACAAGUGUCAAAUAUACUCUAGAGCCAAAAAAUGCAUUUCUUUGAAAACAUUUACAAGGUCAGAUUCUCUGGUAAUUUAGAUGAAUUCUUCCUUUGGGUUAAUGGGAAUUAUGGUAUUGUCUUCUCUUUUUGAGAGCAGAGAGGGAUGAGACAUGAAGGGAGAACCAAAGUAUCAGAAACAGGUAGUGAGGAGAAGAAAAUAAAAGAAAUGAUUACAGUGGCAAUAAGUUAACAGUAAUAGGAAAUACGAUCACUGGGGAACUUUUAUUCUGUGCCUGAUCCUGCCCCUGACAAGUUCACGUUGCAUGUUCUAUUAAAUCUCAUAACAACCACUUUAGCUAGGCAGGUGUGAUGGUUAAUUUUAUGUGUCAACUUGGAUAUAUCAUGAUGAAAAGUUGCUUGGUCAAAAACUGGUCUAGAUGUUCCUGUGAAGGUAUUUUGUGGAUGUGAUUAAUGUUUGCAAUCAGUUGACAUUAAAUAAAGCAGAUUAUCCUCCAUAAUGUGGGUGGGCCUCAUUCAACACAUUGAAAGCCUUAAGAGCAAAGAUGGAUGUUUACUAAAGAAGGAAGUCUGCCUCCAAAUUGCAAUAUAAACAUUCUGCCUGAGUUUCCAGCCUGUAGAGUCAAGACAGUAACAUUAUCUCUCACCUGAAUUUCCAGACUGCCAUCUUGCCGUAUGGAUUCUGGACUUGUCAGCUCACUACGACUGUACCUAAUUUCAUGACUUGUGGCCGUCUCUGAAGUGCUUGCUGCAGUGUGGAGUGAUCGUAUGGCUUUAUUGUCAUAGAGAAGACCAAAUAAGAGAAAAAACAACAAUGCCAACCACACGAUGGGUGAGGAUUAAACAGGAGAAU